rnacentral:siRNA from 1 species
GGGUGUUUGGUCUAGUGGU